CCUACGGGUGACAGCAGUAGGGAAUUUUCGGCAAUGGGGGGAACCCUGACCGAGCAACGCCGCGUGAACGAAGAAGUUAUUCGUAAUGUAAAGUUCUUUUAACAGGGAAGAAAGAGAAAUUUGACGGUACCUGAAGAAUAAGCUCCGGCUAACUACGUGCCAGCAGCCGCGGUAAUACGGGGGAUGCAAGCGUUAUCCGGAUUUAUUGGGUUUAAAGGGUGCGUAGGCUGUGAGGUAAGUCAGCGGUGAAAUGCCCCCGCUCAACGGGGUGAAGUGCCAUUGAUACUGCCUUGCUGGAAUGCGGAUGCCGUGGGAGGAAUGUGUGGUGUAGCGGUGAAAUGCAUAGAUAUCACACAGAACACCGAUUGCGAAGGCAUCUCACGAAUCCGCGAUUGACGCUGAUGCACGAAAGCGUGGGUAUCAAACAGGAUUAGAUACCCCAGUAGUC
rnacentral:rRNA from 1 species